rfam:Citrus clementina cultivar Clemenules unplaced genomic scaffold scaffold_9, whole genome shotgun sequence.
AUACCAUGAUGACGACAUCUCCUGAGUAACUCCUUAAAUCUUUCUCAUUCAUCAUACAAACUCUCAUCUUUAAGUUGAUGCAAAGAUGUGAUCUCGUUCAUCACUUU